CCUACGGGGGGCUGCAGUGGGGAAUUUUGGACAAUGGGGGCAACCCUGAUCCAGCCAUGCCGCGUGCGGGAAGAAGGCCUUCGGGUUGUAAACCGCUUUCGGCCGGAACGAAAUCGCCGGGGAGAACAUCCCCGGUGGAUGACGGUACCGGAAGAAGAAGCACCGGCUAACUACGUGCCAGCAGCCGCGGUAAUACGUAGGGUGCGAGCGGUAAUCGGAACGACUGGGGGUGGAGCGCGAGGACGGGGUUGAAAUCCCCGGGCUUAACCUGGGAACUGCGUUUGUGACUGGCGGGCUGGAGUGCGGAAGAGGGAGGUGGAAUUCCACGUGUAGCAGUGAAAUGCGUAGAGAUGUGGAGGAACACCGAUGGCGAAGGCAGCCUCCUGGUCUAGCACUGACGCUCAUGCACGAAAGCGUGGGGAGCAAACAGGAUUAGAUACCCUGGUAGUC
rnacentral:rRNA from 1 species